rnacentral:rRNA from 1 species
UUGCAGGCUGCAACUCGCCUGCAUGAAGUUGGAAUUGCUAGUAAUCGCGGAUCAGCAUGCCGCGGUGAAUACGUUCCCGGGCCUUGUACACACCGCCCGUCACACCAUGGGAGCCGGUAACACCCGAAGCCUGUAGUCUAACCGCAAGGAGGACGCAGUCGAAGGUGGGAUUGAUGACUGGGGUGAAGUCGUAACAAGGUAUC